rnacentral:rRNA from 1 species
GGACAGGUGCUGCAUGGCUGUCGUCAGCUCGUGUCGUGAGAUGUUGGGUUAAGUCCCGCAACGAGCGCAACCCUUAUCUUUAGUUACCAUCAUUAAGUUGGGGACUCUAAAGAUACUGCCCCGGUUAACGGGGAGGAAGGUGGGGAUGACGUCAAGUCCUCAUGGCCUUUAUGUCCAGGGCUACACACGUGCUACAAUGGGUUGUACAAAGGGUUGCGAACUCGCGAGAGUAGGCCAAUCCCAAAAAGCAACUCUUAGUUCGGAUUGGAGUCUGCAACUCGACUCCAUGAAGCUGGAAUCGCUAGUAAUCGUGGAUCAGCAUGCCACGGUGAAUACGUUCCCGGGCCUU